GACGAACGCUGGCGGCGUGCUUAACACAUGCAAGUCGAACGGAAAGGCCCUGCUUUUGUGGGGUGCUCGAGUGGCGAACGGGUGAGUAACACGUGAGUAACCUGCCCUUGACUUUGGGAUAACUUCAGGAAACUGGGGCUAAUACCGGAUAGGAGCUCCUGCUGCAUGGUGGGGGUUGGAAAGUUUCGGCGGUUGGGGAUGGACUCGCGGCUUAUCAGCUUGUUGGUGGGGUAGUGGCUUACGAAGGCUUUGACGGGUAGCCGGCCUGAGAGGGUGACCGGGCACAUUGGGACUGAGAUACGGCCCAGAAUGCUACGGGAGGCAGCAGUGGGGAAUAUUGCACAAUGGGCGGAAGCCUGAUGCAGCAACGCCGCGUGCGGGAUGACGGCCUUCGGGUUGUAAACCGCUUUCGCCUGUGACGAAGCGUGAGUGACGGUAAUGGGUAAAGAAGCACCGGCUAACUACGUG
rnacentral:rRNA from 1 species